GCCUGUUUAACCAAAACAUCGCCUUCAGAGAAGUUUGUAGGUAUAACCUGCCCACUGAGUGUUGAAGGGCCGCAGUAUUUUGACUGUGCAAAGGUAGCAUAAUCAUUAGUCUUUUUAAUGGAGGCUGGGAUGAAUGGUUGAAUGAGAAAAGAUCUGUCUUUGUGUUGAAAUUAAAAAUUAACUUUUUAGUGAAAAGGCUAAAAUAAAUUUAUUAGACGAGAAGACCCUAUAGAUCUUUAUAAAUGAAUUUAAGAGUUAAUAGAGGAUUUGAUUUUUUGAGGAAAUUUAUUUUGUUGGGGUGACAAGGAAAUAAAAUAACUUUCUUUUUAUAUAACAGUGAUGAUUGAUUAAAUGAUCCAUAUGGAGUGAUUAUAAGUUUAAGUUACCUUAGGGAUAACAGCGUGAUUUUUUUAGAGAGUUCUUAUCGAUAAAAAAGUUUGCGACCUCGAUGUUGAAUUAAGAAAAUGCUGGGGGGUAGAAAUUUCAGUUUUUAGUCUGUUCGACUAUUAUAUUCUUACAUGAUUUGAGUUCAAACCGGAGCUCC
rnacentral:rRNA from 1 species